rnacentral:lncRNA from 1 species
GUGCCCUUUGGAUAAUUGGGGAGUAUUGCCUAUCACUUUCGGAAGUUGAGAGUGGCAUUUCAACUAUCACGCAAUGCCUUGGCGAAUUACCAUUUUACUCUGUUUCUGAGGAGUCUGAGCCAACUGAGACAUCAAAGAAGAUUCAGCCUACCUCUUCUGCCAUGGUGUCCUCUAGAAAGCCAGUGAUUCUUGCUGAUGGAACUUAUGCUACCCAAAGCGCAGCCUCUGAAACCACAUUCUCCUCACCUACAGUUGUUCAAGGAUCACUGACUUCUGGAAAUUUGAGAGCACUGCUACUAACUGGUGAUUUUUUCCUCGGAGCAGUGGUUGCUUGCACGUUGACCAAACUUGUUCUUAGGUUAGAAGAGGUUCAGUCUUCUAAAACUGAAGUAAAUAAGACAGUCACACAGGCUUUGUUGAUCAUGGUUUCUAUGUUGCAACUUGGGCAAUCUCCUGUUUCUCCACACCCUAUUGAUAAUGAUUCGUAUGAGAGGAUUGUGUUGUGCAUAAAAUUGCUUUGCCAUAGGAAUGAUGAGAUGAAAAAGAUAUGGUUAGAAUCCUGCCGCCAGAGUUUUGUCAAGAUGAUUUCUGAAAAACAGCUUAGAGAGAUGGAGGAACUGAAGGCGAAGACCCAAACAACGCAUGCUCAACCUGAUGAUCUAAUUGACUUCUUCCAUCUAAAGAGUCGGAAGGUAUUAUUACUUCCUAAGCUUCCCUUUGCUUUAUUGGGUUUUUUUUUCCAUAUGAGUUUUCCUUUUCAAUCUGUUCAGUUCUGUUACGUUGGUGUCUACUUUUUCUUACAGUUCAUAUCCAAUUUUUUUUUUCGCAUUCUCAAAGAAAGUUCGAAAGUUGAUAGUGGCAUGUUAUGUUUAUUUAUUUCGGUCAGUAGUUGAAAUUACUGACGAUAAGUUUCUUUCAGGGAAUGAGUCAACUUGAGUUGGAAGACCAAGUACAAGAUGACCUAAAGCGUGCAACUGGAGAAUUCACCAAGGACGAGAACGAUGCUAACAAACUUAACCGCAUUCUUCAACUCACAGGAUUCAGUGACCCAGUCUAUGCUGAAGCAUAUGUGACGGUACACCAUUAUGAUAUUGCUCUUGAAGUUACAGUAAUCAACCGAACCAAGGAAACCCUUCAGAACUUGUGCUUGGAGUUAGCAACCAUGGGUGAUCUCAAACUUGUUGAGCGUCCUCAGAACUACAGUCUGGCACCUGAAAGAAGCAUGCAGAUUAAAGCAAACAUCAAGGUGUCGUCCACAGAGACGGGAGUCAUAUUCGGGAACAUCGUCUAUGAGACAUCAAAUGUAAUGGAGCGAAACGUCGUUGUUCUUAAUGACAUACACAUUGAUAUCAUGGACUAUAUCUCCCCUGCUGUGUGUUCAGAGGUUGCUUUCAGAACUAUGUGGGCAGAGUUCGAAUGGGAAAACAAGGUAAUUUAUUGAAACCUUUUAUAGUUGUACCUUCUUUUCGUAUGUUUGUUGGAGUUUGGUAUAACCAAUUCCUGUUGUAUUCUUUAUGUCAGGUUGCUGUGAACACCACAAUACAAAACGAAAGAGAAUUCCUCGACCACAUUAUCAAAUCUACAAACAUGAAAUGUCUCACUGCUCCGUAAGUGUAAAUUCUUCUUUCAUCCUGUAGAAACGAAAAACUCUUCUUACUAAUUAAUACUUCUUUACUUGCAGAUCCGCAAUAGAAGGCGAAUGUGGAUUCCUUGCAGCAAACUUAUACGCAAAAAGUGUAUUUGGUGAGGAUGCUCUUGUGAAUGUGAGUAUUGAGAAGCAAACGGAUGGAGCAUUGAGUGGUUACAUAAGGAUAAGGAGCAAGACGCAAGGGAUUGCCCUAAGUCUUGGGGACAAAAUCACCCUCAAACAAAAGGGUAGUAGCUGAGGUUAGCUAAUCUUUUCAAAACAUAUUCUAUUUCUCGAUUAAUACAUGUUUUAAUCCUUAAACCGCAAUUGGUCUAAAUUUCAGUACCAUACCGAUGAUUUCUCACAGUGGCGUGCAAAGGUAACAGGUUUAGACUACGUACGUUUCUCUUGAGCAAUUAUCGUUGGUUGAAUCUGCUUAUUAUAUGGAGGGAGGAGGCGUUCAAGGGUAUAUGUAAAAAGAGUAAUUGGCUAUCGUUCUUACUUAACCGGUAUAUUUUCUGGUAUGGUACCGAUGGAUUUCUUCAUCUCAUAUGGCAGUGUGUUUUUUACUGUACUAGACGAUUUUGUUUUAUUUGUAAUGCUUUUUCUUCUAUAAUGUCGUUUGUUGAGGACUUUAAACCGUGAACUUUAUGAUAUUGUAGAUUUCAAAGCUACAUUUGGUUUGCUCCAUUUUAGAACUCGUCAUUUCAGAUUUGAUCUCUAUUCUUUUCUUUCAUAUGCAUUUGAAGUGAACUAUUCAAUUGUCAAAGCUAGACUUUAAUUUGCUAGUAGCUAUAUAAUACGGGUUAUGUUAGCAAGUAAGUUGUAAUGAAACGCAUGUAUUAAUAUGGACCAUAUUCAAAAUCUACAAGCCAAAGAAACCAAUUGCUUCACAACCAAACCCAUAACAUUUGAUUCUUACAGCCUUUUCUAUUCUCAAGAAAACCAAGCAAUAAUUUUUAAGCAAAAUUUAAUAAUCUUAAAUCACUUGCCUCAAGGUACCAAGGGACGAUCACAUACACAUUCGCGUAACUAGAUAUCGCUAACAUCAUUAGACAAGAAAAUACUAGACGCGAGUAGAAGAGGAAAGAUCCAAAUACAUCAUCUUCUAUCAUAAAAUCAUCCAUCUCUAACCGAAAGUUGGAGCACGUUUCAAGGAAAAACUGACAUAAUUCCUAAUUACGCUCACUUUUAAAAGUUUGGGGUCGUUUUGGAAACAAUAAAAAAGUAGGGGCUAUGCUUUCUCAACUUCUAUUGGACUGGGCUUGUCAACAAUCAAUAUUUGGGCCUGCGAGGUUGACUCGCUUCUUUCCGUUCUUCGUUUUCCAAACAGAAGGAAAAAAAACUAAAAAACAAAAUCGGAUUUGGAGGAGUAAACACAAGGGAAGACGAAUCCACGAUAAUAUUAAGGACAUUUCAUAAUCUCUCACUUUGUGCGAGUGUUUUUUUUUCCGAGAUCCAAAAUCUUCUAACGGAUCCAAAGCUUUGUUACUCCGUGGAUCUCCUACCUUGAGGUUCGUCUCUAUCUGUUAAACUUGCGACUCAGAUUUCGUAGAGAUCGAUCCCACUUUUGCUUUUCCUUUGUGAAAAUCUACAAUGUUCAAUAUUCUCUGGCGUUCUUUGCUUGAUCUCGUUGAAUAUUGAUCCGAUCCCGGUAGGCAAACGAUUUUCAUGUUUGUGCAGCUGAGUGAGACUGCGAACUAUGUAGAUUCCAUUGUUUGUUCAUCAAAUCUGGGGAGAUAUAUUGCAUUUGUGAUAUGAACUUUGGUUGAUCCGAAGCUUUUUUAUUAUUCGAUUUUAUGUUAAUGUUUUGGUCGUAGUUGUAGUAAAAGUGAUGUGUAUUGCUGGAUCUGAGGAUUUGAAUUUGUCAAUGUCUUGCAUCUUUGGGUCGUUGAUUAGACAUUACCGAAUAUUCUUCAGCGAUUAUGAUGCUUUCUCAUAUACCGUGGAUUUGAGAACAUAGAUGCUUUCUUCAUUGUACUGAAAUAUAUGUAGAGAGGUGUAGAUUAUUAUUGCUGAGUAGUAUUAUGGGGAUACUCUGAAACUUCUUGUUUAGAACUUACUCGAGCAGUGAUGAAGAUACUAGUAAGGUGCUUAUACUAACUUAGUAAUUAAAAGAAAAUUCUUAAAAUUUUGGAUAUAUUGAUUGUUACCUGUGAUCUAUACUACUUCAUUUUAUCUUUAAAUCGAUUUUCAGUAUUUUAGGUUCCUAUUCUCUAUUCGCUUUGAAUUUCUUAUGUUAACAUAGGUACACUUGUUCUUGCAUGAUUUUUCCUUUUCAUAUGAGCUCACAAUUUUAUUUUAUUUUUCACUCUUUGUGCAGCACCUGAAAAGAUGGACAAAUCUAGUACCAUGCUUGUUCACUAUGACAAAGGGACUCCAGCAGUUGCUAAUGAGAUUAAAGAAGCUCUCGAAGGAAAUGAUGUUGAAGCUAAAGUUGAUGCCAUGAAGAAGGCAAUUAUGCUUUUGCUGAAUGGUGAAACCAUUCCUCAGCUUUUCAUUACCAUUAUAAGAUAUGUGCUGCCUUCUGAAGACCACACCAUCCAAAAGCUUCUGUUGCUGUACCUGGAGCUGAUUGAAAAGACAGAUUCGAAGGGGAAGGUGUUGCCUGAAAUGAUUUUGAUAUGCCAGAAUCUUCGUAAUAACCUUCAGCAUCCGAAUGAGUACAUCCGUGGAGUGACACUGAGGUUUCUCUGUCGGAUGAAGGAGACUGAAAUAGUGGAACCUUUGACUCCAUCAGUGUUACAAAAUCUGGAGCAUCGCCAUCCAUUUGUUCGCAGGAAUGCAAUUCUGGCAAUCAUGUCGAUAUAUAAACUUCCACAUGGCGACCAACUCUUCGUGGAUGCACCUGAAAUGAUCGAGAAAGUUCUAUCAACAGAACAAGAUCCUUCUGCCAAGAGAAAUGCAUUUCUAAUGCUCUUUACCUGUGCCGAAGAACGUGCAGUGAAUUAUCUUCUGAGCAAUGUUGACAAGGUUUCAGACUGGAAUGAAUCACUUCAGAUGGUGGUGCUGGAGCUGAUUCGAAGUGUGUGUAAGACUAAACCAGCGGAGAAGGGAAAAUAUAUUAAAAUUAUUAUUUCUCUGUUAAGUGCUACUUCUUCUGCAGUUAUCUAUGAAUGUGCUGGGACACUUGUUUCUCUCUCAUCUGCCCCUACUGCUAUUCGAGCUGCUGCCAACACCUACUGCCAACUUCUUCUUUCUCAGAGUGACAACAAUGUGAAGCUUAUCUUGCUCGAUCGGUUGUAUGAGCUUAAGACAUUGCACAGAGAUAUCAUGGUUGAGCUGAUAAUCGAUGUGCUCAGAGCACUCUCAAGCCCAAACCUUGAUAUCCGCAGGAAGACACUUGACAUUGCCCUUGACUUGAUUACCCAUCAUAAUAUUAAUGAAGUCGUUCAAAUGUUGAAGAAAGAAGUUGUGAAGACACAGAGUGGAGAACUUGAGAAGAAUGGAGAGUACAGGCAAAUGCUUAUUCAAGCCAUCCAUGCUUGUGCAGUUAAGUUCCCCGAAGUUGCAAGCACAGUGGUCCAUCUUCUGAUGGAUUUCCUGGGAGAUAGCAACGUGGCUUCAGCUCUUGACGUGGUUGUUUUCGUUAGAGAGAUAAUAGAAACAAAUCCCAAGUUGAGAGUUUCAAUCAUCACCAGGUUGUUGGACACGUUCUAUCAGAUCCGUGCAGGAAAGGUCUGCCCUUGUGCACUUUGGAUCAUUGGUGAGUAUUGCCUAUCACUUUCAGAAGUUGAGAGUGGCAUUUCAACUAUUACACAAUGCCUUGGCGAAUUACCAUUUUACUCUGUUUCUGAGGAGUCUGAGCCAACUGAGACAUCAAAGAAGAUUCAGCCUACCUCUUCUGCCAUGGUGUCCUCUAGAAAGCCAGUUAUUCUUGCUGAUGGAACUUAUGCUACACAAAGCGCAGCCUCUGAAACCACAUUCUCCUCGCCUACAGUUGUUCAAGGAUCACUGACUUCUGGAAAUUUGAGGGCACUCCUUCUAACUGGUGA